AACGUAGGAGGCGAGCGUUAUCCGGAAUUACUGGGCGUAAAGCGCGCGUAGGCGGCUGAUUAAGUCGGGUGUGAAAGCCCCGGGCUCAACCUGGGAACUGCAUCCGAUACUGGUCGGCUAGAGUACGGUAGAGGGUGGCGGAAUUCCUGGUGUAGCAGUGAAAUGCGUAGAGAUCCGGAGGAACACCAGAGGCGAAGGCGGCGCCCUGGGCUGCACCUGACGCUGAGCCGCGAAAGCUAGGGGAGCGAACGGG
rnacentral:rRNA from 1 species